rnacentral:rRNA from 1 species
UACGAAGGGGGCUAGCGUUGCUCGGAAUUACUGGGCGUAAAGGGCGCGUAGGCGGCCUGCUAAGUCGAACGUGAAAUCCCCGGGCUUAACCUGGGAAUGGCAUUUGGGACUGCAAGGCUGGAGUGCGGCAGAGGAGACUGGAAUUCCUGGUGUAGCAGUGAAAUGCGUAGAUAUCAGGAGGAACACCGAUGGCGAAGGCAGGUCUCUGGGCUGACACUGACGCUCAUGCACGAAAGCGUGGGGAGCAAACAGG